CUGAACUUAUCAAGCUGCCUUAUAGAGAGUCAGGCAAAAUUAAUCCAUCUUCUCUACUGCUUUCUACUUUGGACCGGCAGUGGCUAUGCAGAUGAUCAGACACCUGACAAUGUUGCCUGAAGUGUCUUGGUGGUGCAAAACUUAAAAGUUCACAACGACCAGAAGUUCAAUUGGAUGCAAGUAGGUAAGGAAGGAAAUACAUGGGGAGAGAAAUUAUUUACCUCAGGCCACUUUUCCUGGAUGACGUCAAUGAUGUCGUCUGUAAAGUCCCCCUGAAUGAUUAUUUCAUCCUCUCCUGUUACUGAGGCACCGCAGGAGAAUUUCUGAGCAAAGAACCUUUGUGCUUCCUUAAGGUCUAUUUCUGU